rnacentral:rRNA from 1 species
UUCCGGUUGAUCCCGCCGGAGGUUACUGCUAUCGAGGUUCGACUAAGCCAUGCGAGUCGAAUGUAGCAAUACAUGGCGUACUGCUCAGUAACACGUGGACAACCUGCCCUUAGGUUGGGUAUAAACCCGGGAAACUGGGUAUAAUCCCCUAUAAGUCCCGGCUGCUGGAAUGCACCGAGAUUAAAAGCUCCGGCGCCUAAGGAUGGGUCUGCGGCCUAUCAGGUAGUAGUGGGUGUAGCGUACCUACUAGCCUACGACGGGUACGGGUUGUGAGAGCAAGAGCCCGGAGAUGGAUUCUGAGACACGAAUCCAGGCCCUACGGGGUGCAGCAGGCGCGAAAACUUUACAAUGCUGGCAACAGCGAUAAGGGAACCUCGAGUGCCAGGUUACAAAUCUGGCUGUCGAGAUGCCUAAAAAGCAUUUCAUAGCAAGGGCCGGGCAAGACCGGUGCCAGCCGCCGCGGUAACACCGGCGGCUCGAGUGGUAACCGUUAUUAUUGGGUCUAAAGGGUCUGUAGCCGGCCGGAUAAGUCUCUUGAGAAAUCUGGCAGCUUAACUGUCAGGCUUUCAGGAGAUACUGUCUGGCUCGAGGCCGGGAGAGGUGAGAGGUACUUCAGGGGUAGGGGUGAAAUCUUGUAAUCCUUGAAGGACCACCAGUGGCGAAGGCGUCUCACCAGAACGGACCUGACGGCAAGGGACGAAAGCUAGGGGCACGAACCGGAUUAGAUACCCGGGUAGUCCUAGCCGUAAACGAUACUCGCUAGGUGUCGGCCACGGUGCGACCGUUGUCGGUGCCGUAGGGAAGCCGUGAAGCGAGCCACCUGGGAAGUACGGCCGCAAGGCUGAAACUUAAAGGAAUUGGCGGGGGAGCACCACAACGGGUGGAGCUUGCGGUUUAAUUG